GUCAACAUAGCAUAGUGGUUUGAGUUUUAGACUACAACCCUGGAGACCAGGGUUCGAUUCCCAGCUCAGCCA
rnacentral:tRNA from 1 species